CCUUCCAUGAAACGUCAGUUCAGGGGUAUCUCUGUGGUUGUUGUAAGGGCAAGAAAAAUAUGCAGCAAGAAGUUCUCGUUCUUCUCCUUCACUUGGCUGUUCCUGCCCCUCUGCUCCUGCCGCUGCUGACUGUCACGGGGGUUCAGGAUCAGCCCCUUGGUCUGGCAGUGAAGAGCCCUGGUCUGCUUUGUGUCCCUGACAACAAAAAGGAUGCACCCCUGGUGUAAAGGAAAAGGCUCCUCAGAAGAAUGUUUUCCUGACGUGAUGGAGCAACUGCCAUGCUUUGUUGCUGCAAAGCACCGUGCCUUUGUGUACUGACCUCGAGCAAGAGCGAGACAUGGAAAAGGCAGGUGCUGUACUGCAAAUCCCACUUGAAAUGCACGGGGCUUCAGUAUUUGGAAACAUGCCUAUACCUAGGAGAAGGUGGAAUAACAUAUUUGGAGAAUAUGAAUGCUCCAGAUACUACAUCUGAAAGAAAUGAUUGCCAAAGUGCUCAAGAGAGGAAAUCUCCAGACUUAUCCGUAAGACUUUCCUCUUUGCCUUGGAAAAUUACCAAGCUGGAUAAUUUCUCAGGAGUCAGAUUUUCAGAACUGCACAAAGUACGUGGAGUGCUUCCCCAUCGCCUCCCUUUCACCUAUGUUUUCAACGUAAGCUGCACUUUUAAUGACUUUUUGUAA
rnacentral:lncRNA from 1 species